CAGCCGCCGCGGUAAUACGAAGGGGGCUAGCGUUGCUCGGAAUGACUGGGCGUAAAGGGCGCGUAGGCGGCGAUCAAAGUCAGGCGUGAAAUUCCUGGGCUCAACCUGGGGGCUGCGCUUGAUACUUGGUUGCUUGAGUGGGGAAGAGGGUCGUGGAAUUCCCAGUGUAGAGGUGAAAUUCGUAGAUAUUGGGAAGAACACCGGUGGCGAAGGCGGCGACCUGGUCCUUGACUGACGCUGAGGCGCGAAAGCGUGGGGAGCAAACAGGAUUAGAGACCCGCGUAGUCCCUGUCUCUUAUAC
rnacentral:rRNA from 1 species